rnacentral:tmRNA from 1 species
GGGGGCGACCUGGUUUCGACGUGGGCAACGAAGCAGCGCAGGGCAUGCCGAGGACCAGAUCACCUCGUAAAUCCAGUCUGGAAACACUACAAACGCCAACGACGAGCGUUUCGCUCUCGCGGCCUAAUACCCGCGAGACGCUGC